UAGGGAAUCUUCGGCAAUGGGGGCAACCCUGACCGAGCAACGCCGCGUGAGUGAAGAAGGUUUUCGGAUCGUAAAGCUCUGUUGUAAGAGAAGAACGAGUGUGAGAGUGGAAAGUUCACACUGUGACGGUAACUUACCAGAAAGGGACGGCUAACUACGUGCCAGCAGCCGCGGUAAUACGUAGGUCCCGAGCGUUAUCCGGAUUUAUUGGGCGUAAAGCGAGCGCAGGCGGUUAGAUAAGUCUGAAGUUAAAGGCUGUGGCUUAACCAUAGUACGCUUUGGAAACUGUUUAACUUGAGUGCAGAAGGGGAGAGUGGAAUUCCAUGUGUAGCGGUGAAAUGCGUAGAUAUAUGGAGGAACACCGGUGGCGAAAGCGGCUCUCUGGUCUGUAACUGACGCUGAGGCUCGAAAGCGUGGGGAGCAAACAGGAUUAGAUACCCUGGUAGUCCACGCCGUNNNGAUGAGUGCUAGGUGUUGGGUCCUUUCCGGGACUCAGUGCCGCAGCUAACGCAUUAAGCACUCCGCCUGGGGAGUACGACCGCNAGGNUG
rnacentral:rRNA from 1 species